GAUGAACGCUGGCGGCGUGCCUAAUACAUGCAAGUCGAGCGAACAGAUAAGGAGCUUGCUCCUUUGACGUUAGCGGCGGACGGGUGAGUAACACGUGGAUAACCUACCUAUAAGACUGGGAUAACUUCGGGAAACCGGAGCUAAUACCGGAUAACAUAUUGAACCGCAUGGUUCAAUAGUGAAAGGCGGCUUUGCUGUCACUUAUAGAUGGAUCCGCGCCGUAUUAGCUAGUUGGUAAGGUAACGGCUUACCAAGGCAACGAUACGUAGCCGACCUGAGAGGGUGAUCGGCCACACUGGAACUGAGACACGGUCCAGACUCCUACGGGAGGCAGCAGUAGGGAAUCUUCCGCAAUGGGCGAAAGCCUGACGGAGCAACGCCGCGUGAGUGAUGAAGGUCUUCGGAUCGUAAAACUCUGUUAUCAGGGAAGGACAAAUGUGUAAGUAACUGUGCACAUCUUGACGGUACCUGAUCAGAAAGCCACGGCUAACUACGUG
rnacentral:rRNA from 1 species